rnacentral:rRNA from 1 species
CGCCAGACUCCUACGGGAGGCAGCAGUGGGGGAUAUUGCACAAUGGGGGAAACCCUGAUGCAGCGACGCCGCGUGAGUGAGGAAGUAUUUCGGUAUGUAAAGCUCUAUCAGCAGGGAAGAAAAAAGACGGUACCUGACUAAGAAGCCCCGGCUAACUACGUGCCAGCAGCCGCGGUAAUACGUAGGGGGCAAGCGUUAUCCGGAUUUACUGGGUGUAAAGGGGGCGCAGACGGCGAUGCAAGCCAGGAGUGAAAGCCCGGGGCCCAACCCCGGGACUGCUCUUGGAACUGCGUGGCUGGAGUGCAGGAGGGGCAGGCGGAAUUCCUGGUGUAGCGGUGAAAUGCGUAGAGAUCAGGAGGAACACCGGUGGCGAAGGCGGCCUGCUGGACUGCAACUGACGUUGAGGCCCGAAAGCGUGGGGAGCAAACAGGAUUAGAUACCCGAGUACC